rnacentral:lncRNA from 1 species
CCAGACUUCCUCCUAUCACAAUCAACUUUACUUCGAGCUUCUUCCGGACUUCAUCAAUGUCCGGGCUUCUCUAGAUUUCUCCCCCGAACUUCUAUUGCAAGCGGACUUCAUCCAAGUUUCUACGAUAAGUGGACUUCGUUCGAGCUUCUACAAUAAGCGGUCUCCAUCCGAGCUUCUACAGUAAACGGCCUCCUUUCAGACUCCUACAAGAAUCGAACUCCGUCCGAACUUCUACAUCAGACAAAUUUCAGACGGACUUCUCUAGCAAUCAAACUCCAGUCAGAUUUCUCCAACAGAAAAUUUUUAUCCGGGCUUCUAAGC